AAGUUCCAAAAAGUCAGCAAACUCAGAAAAUGACAGUCACAGCUACCCAUGCGUGACGCCCCCAUGUGGGCAGGACGUGGCUACGGGGUAAGAAGCGUGUGCAGGCCACCUCCCGCUGCUGUGGCCCAGCCCCACCACGGUGCCUGCACAGAGGAGGUCCCUGGUUAAUAACAUGUCUGAGCACUGCAUGAGUUAGGUCUCUGGGGCUCCAGUAAGUGACGUUCAGAAAUUGAAGGGUCGUUAAGCUCCCCCCCCUCAGGCCUGCCCUCUGCUCCCUCUCUCUGCAGGCAAGGGGGGGGUCUCCACUGAGAGAAGGGGACACGGAGCUCAGAGGGGCCUGGCUGCUUUGCCGGCAUCCCCAGCCCUUGCUCUCCAAACCUGCCCCAUCAAAUCCUCGCAAAGCCGCCACCCGGAAGCCCCGGGGUCCUCGUACUGCCAAUGGGAAGAAAAAGCUGGAUCCCUCCCACAAACAACAAAACAAAGAAAACCCACACCCACUAGCCCCUGAGUGUCUCUGGUGGUGCUUGGAGGGAGCGUGACAUGGGCCCCUAGACAGCCGUCUGGAAUGCACCUGCCCAACUCAGCCUGUAGACAGAGCAGUAGGUGGACCCACUGCUGCAGGACACCUCCAGGGCCAGCAUUUUGGUCUCCAGAGCAGGCCACUGGUGUGGCUAGGGGACCCCCAGCGGACCCCUAUGUGGUCAGGGAGUGGCUCCUUGGCAUGGGACCUCCAGGAAGCCCCGGGUGCAUCUGGGGCCUGGCUGGGUGGGUGGAGGAGCCCGGCACUUUGCAUCCAAGUUCCGAGGCCGAUGGCACAGGAAACCCCUCCUGAAAGGUUCCUGGGAGGUUCCUGUGAACCUGUCCUAGGAAAGGUUUCCCUCCCACCGGGCCAGGGCCAGAGUAGGGCCAGACUCCAAGGGGAGAGACCCCCGGUACAUCUCUACCGUCCCGACAGCUGGCAGGGGCCGUGAGGAGGGGUCACUCCGUGCACACCUGCCCUCCCAGAUGUGUGAGCUCCUGGGCCUCGCCCCGGCAGCCAGCAACCCCUGCCGGCGUGGGAGCCCCCGCAGGCGGCGCCAGGUGCGCCCCCCGCUCCGAGCCCCUAUCUCAGCCUGGUGCUCCGAGGAUCCCGGCCGCGGCCUCCCCGCCCUACCCCCAGGGAGGCUCGGCUGGGCCGAACAAAGCAGAGGCGCAGCUAGGAGGGCAGCAUCCCCCCCACGCCUCGCUGACCUGCAUCCCGACUCUGGCCCUGGCACGCCCCAUCUUCCAGAUCCCCGGCUCCGGUGGGAGGGGGCUCAGGACCAAGCUCUGGGCCAACCACUCAGGAGCGCGCCAGGCACCGCUGCCCGGGUCGGGAGCGCGGAGGACGAGGGGGCGGGGACGCGAUCCGUGCGCCCCCCGCCCAGCGCGGGGGCCGUUCCGGGCGGUGCCCCCGCUCGUCUUCCCGGGCGCGGCGCACGAGGCUCCCCCCACUUCGGCCCGGCGCAGGGGGACUCGGAGCUGCCGGUGAAGCUGAACACAGGGUAGGCAGCCGACCAAGGUGCCACAGCCGGGCGCUGGAAGCCAGGAGAUCCAAAUGCAAGCCCAUGGUCUGCACAAAGACAAAACAAACCGAAGAAAAGCAUCAGGGAGACAGAGUUUGUUCCCAGCUGGGCGUGGAAAGAUCCGCAGAGGAGGGAGAACCUUCUGCUCCCGUCAAGACAUUCCCUGUCUGUGCCCCUUCUGCUCGAACCUGGGCAAGCUUGUGGCUGCUCUGGCCAGUGGACUGUGGCAGGUUGAUGCCAUGUGACUUACAAGGCUGGGUCUUAAGUAGGAUUCAGCUCUUUCUGAAGGCUCCCCUGGAACCCGGCCACCCUGUGUGAGAAAGCCCAGGCCAUUUGAGGGGCCACUUGAGUGUUUUCUGGCCCACAAUAGCUAAUGAACCAGACAUAAGGUCUCAGCCAGUAGCCAGGUGUGAGAGCCUGCCUUUGAGCCACCCCCAGGGGUAAUACGUAGAACCGAGGUGGGCUGUCCCCACCGAGUCCCAGCCAAGUUGCAGAUUCAUGGGCAAAACAGAUGUUGUUGGGCUUCCCUGGUGGCGCAGUGGCUAAGAAUCCGCCUGCCAAUGCAGGAGACACAGGUUCGAGCCCUGGUCCGGGAAGAUCCCACAUGCCGUGGAGCAACAAAGCCCGUGCGCCACAACUACUGAGCCUGUGCUCUACAGUCCGUGCUCUGCAACACGAGAAGCCACCGUAAUGAGAAGCCUGCGCACUGCAAUGAAGAGUAGCCCCCCGCUCGCCACAACAAGAGAAAGCCCGCACGCAGCAACGAAGACCCAACGCAACCAAAAAUAAACAAAUAA